GUUAUUUUGGCAGAAUAGUGCGUUGGUAUUAGAAACCUCUUAUGUUUUUAACAAAUAACA
rnacentral:tRNA from 1 species